ensembl:snoRNA small nucleolar RNA SNORD19
GAGAAAUGAGGAAAUCAAAUGAUUCUUGAGUACAAGUGAAGACUUCUAAUCCAACUCUGAUCUCUGGCACCCG